UCCAGCCAAUGAGCAAAGAUGUUAGCAGGAGAGGCCAUGUAACAAAAGGACCAUUAUCUCCAAAUGCCUGGAAUAAACAUUGUGAUGUCUCUUUAAAUGGCAGUUACUCUAUUGGCCAGUCCAUUGUGUGGAAACCAGGCGGUCUGUUGUUAGCCAUGCACAUCUAUUCAAGCAAACUGGGCACGGACAUCUUGCUGAGCAAAGCGGAACACAGGAUAUAUAUACAUUUUCUUAGCAAAGAGACACUACAGCAAUCCUGGAGUCAGCCAGCCUCACAUAAAUCACAGCUGGGUAUUUAAAGAAAUGAAAUGGAGUGCAAGUCUCUUGUCUCCUCUUCAGUUUCCAGGUGCUGAGCUCGGAUGUCUGGAUUGGCAGCAAUUAACCCAGCUAAUGAAUGCCUGGCCCUCUAUGAAGUGAUGGAUUAUUUUGUGCAGAUUCUGUAUAGCCACUCAAC